AAUGAACGCUGGCGGCAUGCCUAACACAUGCAAGUCGAACGAGACCUUCGGGUCCUUUGGCGUACGGGGUCGUAACGCGUGGGAACAUUCCCUUGUGGUUGGAAUAACUCCCCGACAGGGGUGCUAUUACCGGAUAAGGUCUUCUGCCCAAAGAUUUAUCGCCUUUGGAUGUGCCCGCGUUGGAUUAGCUAGUUAGUAGGGUAAUAGCCUACCAAGGCGACGAUCCAUAGCUGGUUUGAGAGGAUGAUCAGCCACACUGGGACUGAGACACGGCCCAGACUCCUACGGGAGGCAGCAGUGGGGAAUAUUGGACAAUGGGCGAAAGCCUGAUCCAGCAAUGCCGCGUGAGUGAUGAAGGCAUUAGGGUUGUAAAGCUCUUUUACCCGGGAUGAUAAUGACAGUACCGGGAGAAUAAGCUCCGGCUAACUACGUG
rnacentral:rRNA from 1 species